rnacentral:rRNA from 1 species
GAUGAACGCUGGCGGCGUGCCUAACACAUGCAAGUCGAGCGAUUCUCUUCGGAGAAGAGCGGCGGACGGGUGAGUAACGCGUGGGUAACCUGCCCUGUACACACGGAUAACAUACCGAAAGGUAUGCUAAUACGAGAUAAUAUGCUUUUAUCGCAUGGUAGAAGUAUAAAAGCUUUUGCGGUACAGGAUGGACCCGCGUCUGAUUAGCUAGUUGGUAAGGGAACGGCUUACCAAGGCGACGAUCAGUAGCCGACCUGAGAAGGUGAUCGGCCACAUUGGAACUGAGGCACGGUCCAAACUCCUGCGGGAGGCAGCAGUGGGGAAUAUUGCACAAUGGGCGAAAGCCUGAUGCAGCAACGCCGCGUGGGCGAUGAAGGCCUUCGGGUCGUAAAGCUCUGUCCUCAAGGAAGAUAAUGACGGUACUUGAGGAGGAAGCCCCGGCUAACUACGUGCCAGCCGCCGCCGUAACAC